AAAAGUGAAAGACGGUCUUGCUGUCACUUAUAGAUGGAUCCGCGCUGCAUUAGCUAGUUGGUAAGGUAACGGCUUACCAAGGCAACGAUGCAUAGCCGACCUGAGAGGGUGAUCGGCCACACUGGAACUGAGACACGGUCCAGACUCCUACGGGAGGCAGCAGUAGGGAAUCUUCCGCAAUGGGCGAAAGCCUGACGGAGCAACGCCGCGUGAGUGAUGAAGGUCUUCGGAUCGUAAAACUCUGUUAUUAGGGAAGAACAUAUGUGUAAGUAACUGUGCACAUCUUGACGGUACCUAAUCAGAAAGCCACGGCUAACUACGUGCCAGCAGCCGCGGUAAUACGUAGGUGGCAAGCGUUAUCCGGAAUUAUUGGGCGUAAAGCGCGCGUAGGCGGUUUUUUAAGUCUGAUGUGAAAGCCCACGGCUCAACCGUGGAGGGUCAUUGGAAACUGGAAAACUUGAGUGCAGAAGAGGAAAGUGGAAUUCCAUGUGUAGCGGUGAAAUGCGCAGAGAUAUGGAGGAACACCAGUGGCGAAGGCGACUUUCUGGUCUGUAACUGACGCUGAUGUGCGAAAGCGUGGGGAUCAAACAGGAUUAGAUACCCUGGUAGUCCACGCCGUAAACGAUGAGUGCUAAGUGUUAGGGGGUUUCCGCCCCUUAGUGCUGCAGCUAACGCAUUAAGCACUCCGCCUGGGGAGUACGACCGCAAGGUUGAAACUCAAAGGAAUUGACGGGGACCCGCACAAGCGGUGGAGCAUGUGGUUUAAUUCGAAGCAACGCGAAGAACCUUACCAAAUCUUGACAUCCUUUGACAACUCUAGAGAUAGAGCCUUCCCCUUCGGGGGACAAAGUGACAGGUGGUGCAUGGUUGUCGUCAGCUCGUGUCGUGAGAUGUUGGGUUAAGUCCCGCAACGAGCGCAACCCUUAAGCUUAGUUGCCAUCAUUAAGUUGGGCACUCUAAGUUGACUGCCGGUGACAAACCGGAGGAAGGUGGGGAUGACGUCAAAUCAUCAUGCCCCUUAUGAUUUGGGCUACACACGUGCUACAAUGGACAAUACAAAGGGCAGCGAAACCGCGAGGUCAAGCAAAUCCCAUAAAGUUGUUCUCAGUUCGGAUUGUAGUCUGCAACUCGACUACAUGAAGCUGGAAUCGCUAGUAAUCGUAGAUCAGCAUGCUACGGUGAAUACGUUCCCGGGUCUUGUACACACCGCCCGUCACACCACGAGAGUUUGUAACACCCGAAGCCGGUGGAGUAACCUUUUAGGAGCUAGCCGUCGAAGGUGGGACAAAUGAUUGGGGUGAAGUCGUA
rnacentral:rRNA from 1 species